GACGAACGCUGGCGGCGUGCUUAACACAUGCAAGUCGAACGGAAAGGCCCUGCUUGCCGGGUACUCGAGUGGCGAACGGGUGAGUAACACGUGGGUGAUCUGCCCUGCACUUCGGGAUAAGCCUGGGAAACUGGGUCUAAUACCGGAUAGGAGCCAUUUUUAGUGUGAUGGUUGGAAAGUUUUUUCGGUGUAGGAUGAGCUCGCGGCCUAUCAGCUUGUUGGUGGGGUAAUGGCCUACCAAGGCGGCGACGGGUAGCCGGACUGGGAGGGUGGACGGCCACAUUGGGACUGAGAUACGGCCCAGACUCCUACGGGAGGCAGCAGUGGGGAAUAUUGCACAAUGGGCGCAAGCCUGAUGCAGAGACGCCGCGUGGGGGAUGACGGCCUUCGGGUUGUAAAAUCCUUUCGCUAGGGACGAAGCUUUUUGUGACGGUACCUAGAGAAGAAGCACCGGCUAACUACGUG
rnacentral:rRNA from 1 species